UACGAAGGGGGCUAGCGUUGCUCGGAAUUACUGGGCGUAAAGCGCACGUAGGCGGCUUCUUAAGUCGGUGGUGAAAUCCUGGAGCUCAACUCCAGAACUGCCUUCGAUACUGGGAAGCUCGAGUCCGGGAGAGGUGAGUGGAACUGCGAGUGUAGAGGUGAAAUGCGCAGAUAUCAGGAGGAACACCGGUGGCGAAGGCGGGUCUCUGGGCAAUAACUGACGCUGAGGAGCGAAAGCGUGGGGAGCGAACAGG
rnacentral:rRNA from 1 species